AGAGUUUGAUCCUGGCUCAGGACGAACGCUGGCGGCGCGCUUAACACAUGCAAGUCGAGCGAGAACCAGUCCUUCGGGGCUGGGGACAGCGGCGAACGGGUGAGUAACACGUGGGUAAUCUGCCCUCGGCACCGGAAUAGCCCGGGGAAACCCGGAUUAAUGCCGGAUGGCCUCUCUGCCCUACGGGGCGGCGAGAAAAGGUAGCUUUGGCCUCCGGCCGAGGAUGAGCCCGCGGCCGAUUAGCUUGUUGGUGAGGUAACGGCUCACCAAGGCGACGAUCGGUAGCUGGUCUGAGAGGACGAUCAGCCACACUGGGACUGAGACACGGCCCAGACUCCUACGGGAGGCAGCAGUGGGGAAUCUUGCGCAAUGGGCGAAAGCCUGACGCAGCGACGCCGCGUGCGGGAAGAAGGCCUUCGGGUUGUAAACCGCUUUCAGGAGGGACGAAGCCACUCAGGUUAAUAGCCGAGAGGGUGACGGUACCUCCAGAAGAAGCCCCGGCUAACUACGUGCCAGCAGCCGCGGUA
rnacentral:rRNA from 1 species